rnacentral:tRNA from 1 species
CAGUAGGUAGUUUAAAUAAAAUAUUAAUUUUGGAGAUUAAUGUUAGGGAAUUCCUUUCUACUGA